rnacentral:rRNA from 1 species
CGCUCUAGAACUAGUGGAUCCCCCGGGCUGCAGCCCAAUGUGGAAUUCGCCCUUCUCCCGCCGCGCGCGGCGGGCGGGGCGGGGGCACGGGGGGCCUACGGGAGGCAGCAGUGGGGAAUAUUGCACAAUGGGCGCAAGCCUGAUGCAGCGACGCCGCGUGAGGGAUGGAGGCCUUCGGGUUGUAAACCUCUUUUGUUUGGGAGCAAGCCUUCGGGUGAGUGUACCUUUCGAAUAA